AGUGAACGCUGGCGGUAGGCCUAACACAUGCAAGUCGAACGGCAGCACAGUAAGAGCUUGCUCUUACGGGUGGCGAGUGGCGGACGGGUGAGGAAUACAUCGGAAUCUACUUUUUCGUGGGGGAUAACGUAGGGAAACUUACGCUAAUACCGCAUACGACCUACGGGUGAAAGCAGGGGAUCUUCGGACCUUGCGCGAUUGAAUGAGCCGAUGUCGGAUGAGCUAGUUGGCGGGGUAAAGGCCCACCAAGGCGACGAUCCGUAGCUGGUCUGAGAGGAUGAUCAGCCACACUGGAACUGAGACACGGUCCAGACUCCGACGGGAGGAAGCAGUGGGGAAUAUUGGACAAUGGGCGAAAGCCUGAUCCAGCCAUACCGCGUGGGUGAAGAAGGCCUUCGGGUUGUAAAGCCCUUUUGUUGGGAAAGAAAAGCAGCAGGUUAAUACCCCGCUGUUCUGACGGUACCCAAAGAAUAAGCACCGGCUAACUUCGUG
rnacentral:rRNA from 1 species